AGUGAACGCUGGCGGUAGGCCUAACACAUGCAAGUCGAACGGCAGCACAGUAAGAGCUUGCUCUUACGGGUGGCGAGUGGCGGACGGGUGAGGAAUGCAUCGGAAUCUACUUUUUCGUGGGGGAUAACGUAGGGAAACUUACGCUAAUACCGCAUACGACCUACGGGUGAAAGCAGGGGAUCUUCGGACCUUGCGCGAUUGAAUGAGCCGAUGUCGGAUUAGCUAGCUGGCGGGGUAAAGGCCCACCAAGGCGACGAUCCGUAGCUGGUCUGAGAGGAUGAUCAGCCACACUGGAACUGAGACACGGUCCAGACUCCUACGGGAGGCAGCAGUGGGGAAUAUUGGACAAUGGGCGCAAGCCUGAUCCAGCCAUACCGCGUGGGUGAAGAAGGCCUUCGGGUUGUAAAGCCCUUUUGUUGGGAAAGAAAAGCAGCAGGUUAAUACCCCGCUGUCCUGACGGUACCCAAAGAAUAAGCACCGGCUAACUUCGUG
rnacentral:rRNA from 1 species